AAUAGGUGCAACCAUGAGUUUUCGCGCCCAACUUAUUUAAAAUUUUUUAUAAUUAGCAUUUUUGUUAUUAUGAGAUGAUAAAGCAUGAAUAGUACUUUACUCGUGACUUAUGUUUUUAACUUUUUUUAAAAAUUUUUUAAAUAAGACGAACGGUCAAAGUUAGAUGCGAAAAACUAUGGCUGUAUUUAUU
rfam:Oryza nivara chromosome 8, whole genome shotgun sequence.